UCCUGGUGCACUUCUUCAGGAUGGACGAAUUGAUUAUGGAGAAUUUGUUGCUAUGAUGCAAAAAGGAAAUCCGUGUGGUGUAGGGAGACGAACAAUGCGAAAUAGUCUGAAUUUGAGCAUGAGAGAUGCACCGGGAGCCCAUUAGCUUCUCAGACAGACACAUCUCUGGUAGUUCGCAGGUUGUGUACAGAGAAGAGACCAGAGGCAAUAAACUUUCAUGAUAACAUGGUGUCCCCUAUAACAUCCAGUACCUUCGAGUUUGAGUAGAAGAAGAUGAGUCAAUGACUGUCGGACUGCUAUUUGCCUCCACGAAUUUUUGUGAGAUUUAUAGUCGUUAGUGUGUGAAAAUGAUCCAACUAAUGUGUAUUUUAGUUGAUGAGUUUCAUUCUUGCUUCAAAUUAUUAAACUAGGUUUUUUUUCUUAUAUAUCUUAUUCCGUGAAUGAUUUUCGCCCUUUGUGUAAUUUAUGUUAUUUAUUUUGAGGCUUGUUUAUAGUAAUACUGGAAUCUGUAUGUUGUUCUUUAUGGGAGAAUUUUUAAUUUGUUCAA